CUGCUGCCUCCCGUAGGAGUUUGGGCCGUGUCUCAGUCCCAAUGUGGCCGAUCAACCUCUCAAUUCGGCUACGCAUCAUUGCCUUGGUAAGCCUUUACCCUACCAACUAGCUAAUGCGCCGCGGGCCCAUCCAAAAGCGGUAGUAUAGCCACCUUUUACAUAGUUACCAUGCGGUAACUAUGGUUAUGCGGUAUUAGCACCUGUUUCCAAGUGUUAUCCCCCUCUUUUGGGCAGGUUGCCCACGUGUUACUCACCCGUUCGCCA
rnacentral:rRNA from 1 species